rnacentral:rRNA from 1 species
AACGAACGCUGGCGGCAUGCCUAACACAUGCAAGUCGAACGAGACCUUCGGGUCUAGUGGCGCACGGGUGCGUAACGCGUGGGAACUUGCCCUUAGGUUCGGAAUAACUCCCCGAAAGGGGUGCUAAUACCGGUUAAUGUCAUCGGACCAAAGAUUUAUCGCCUUUGGAUGGGCCCGCGUUGGAUUAGCUAGUUGGUAGGGUAAAAGCCUACCAAGGCGACGAUCCAUAGCUGGUCUGAGAGGAUGAUCAGCCACACUGGGACUGAGACACGGCCCAGACUCCUACGGGAGGCAGCAGUGGGGAAUAUUGGACAAUGGGCGAAAGCCUGAUCCAGCAAUGCCGCGUGAGUGAUGAAGGCCUUAGGGUUGUAAAGCUCUUUUACCCGGGAUGAUAAUGACAGUACCGGGAGAAUAAGCUCCGGCUAACUCCGUG